UCCGGCUUGUCACCGGCAGUUUCUCCAAAGUGCCCAGCUUAACCUGAUGGCAACUGGAGACGAGGGUUGCGCUCGUUGCGGGACUUAACCCAACAUCUCACGACACGAGCUGACGACAGCCAUGCAGCACCUGUGUUGGCUCCGGCCGAACCGAAGGCUCCGUCUCUGGAGCCGGCGAGCCACAAGUCAAGGGCUGGUAAGGUUCUUCGCGUUGCGUCGAAUUGAACCACAUGCUCCACCGCUUGUGCGGGCCCCCGUCAAUUCCUUUGAGUUUCAAUCUUGCGAUCGUACUUCCCAGGUGGAUAACUUAAUGCUUUCGCUCAGACACUAACAGUGUAUCGCUAAUGUCGAGUUAUCAUCGUUUAGGGCGUGGACUAC
rnacentral:misc_RNA from 1 species